rnacentral:misc_RNA from 1 species
UCACUUCAAACGGCUCAAGAAGAUUCUGAAGAAUUGUAGCAGAGAUUUUCAGUCUCGACACCGCCAUAGCGAUGGCGUUUGCUCCACCGUCGCCGUUCAGAGCUGUCCGGAUCACUGUCCAGUGUGCGAUGGGACUUUCUUCCCUUUCCUUCUCAAGGAAAUGUCUGCAAUAGUAGGAGAUUUUAAUCAGCGAGCACAGAAAUUGCUUGAACUGCACCUUGCUUCUGGCUUUAGAAAGUAUCUCUUAUGGUUCAGAGGCAAACUGGAAAGCGAUCAUACUGUCUUAGUUCAAGAAGGGAAAGAAUUGGUUAAUUAUGCAUUGAUGAACGCCAUUGCAGUUAGGAAGAUCUUGAAGAAAUAUGAUAAGUUCUUGAUUGGGUUGCUGAGUACAGAUUCAUUACUCCAAGCAAGGCCAAACCUUCAAGUCACAAGCUCAGAGUAAGCACAUUGAGAUUCUUCAGUCACCAUGGCUAUCAGAGCUUAUAGCAUUCCACAUUAACCUGAAGGAGACAAAGCAUAAAUCUAAGAGGA